CAAUGGGCGCAAGCCUGAUGCAGCCAUGCCGCGUGUAUGAAGAAGGCCUUCGGGUUGUAAAGUACUUUCAGCGAGGAGGAAGGCGUUAAGGUUAAUAACCUUGGCGAUUGACGUUACUCGCAGAAGAAGCACCGGCUAACUCCGUGCCAGCAGCCGCGGUAAUACGGAGGGUGCAAGCGUUAAUCGGAAUUACUGGGCGUAAAGCGCACGCAGGCGGUCUGUCAAGUCGGAUGUGAAAUCCCCGGGCUCAACCUGGGAACUGCAUUCGAAACUGGCAGGCUAGAGUCUUGUAGAGGGGGGUAGAAUUCCAGGUGUAGCGGUGAAAUGCGUAGAGAUCUGGAGGAAUACCGGUGGCGAAGGCGGCCCCCUGGACAAAGACUGACGCUCAGGUGCGAAAGCGUGGGGAGCAAACGGGAUUAGAUACCCUGGUAGUCCACGCCGUAAACGAUGUCGACUUGGAGGUUGUGCCCUUGAGGCGUGGCUUCCGGAGCUAACGCGUUAAGUCGACCGCCUGGGGAGUACG
rnacentral:rRNA from 1 species